CCACCAUCGCUUGCUAUGGAGCAUGGGGCUCUACAUUCUAGCUCAAAUGGUCUCUUCCUGCAGGAAGAUCGCCUGUCAUUAUUGACGGAUGUAUUCUGAGCUUUUUCUCUUGCCAUUGUUCUUUCAGGAUUUGUUUGACUCCUACUUGAUACAUCAAUCUAUUACAGUCAAUUCUCAUAUGCAUCUGACUUCGAUAAAG
rnacentral:lncRNA from 1 species